GACGAACGCUGGCGGCGCGCCUAACACAUGCAAGUCGAACGGAGCUUUGAGAGCUUGCUUUUAAAGCUUAGUGGCGAACGGGUGAGUAACGCGUGAGUAACCUGCCCUGGAGUGGGGGACAACAGUUGGAAACGAUUGCUAAUACCGCAUAAGCCCACGGCCCGGCAUCGGGCUGAGGGGAAAGGAUUUAUUCGCUUCAGGAUGGACUCGCGUCCAAUUAGCUAGUUGGUGAGGUAACGGCCCACCAGGGCGACGAUCGGUAGCCGGACUGAGAGGUUGAUCGGCCACAUUGGGACUGAGACACGGCCCAG
rnacentral:rRNA from 1 species